CUAGCUCCUCUCUCCCGUGGUUGAGCAGAUGUUGUUGCAUUGUACUGUUCAGUUGGCCUGCAAACUUGGUGAGACAGCAAAUAAUGGAAAAUUGAGAACAGUACAUGAAGUCAAUUCUGAGAAUGAUUUUUUUUUUACCUUUAUUUAUAUAGCGCUUUUAACAAUACAGAUUGUGUCAAAGCAACUCUUAAUUAUUAAUUAUUGAUUAAUAUCCAAUUGUGUCUGUUUGGGUUUGCUUACAUGUGUAGUAUCUGGGGAGCUGCCUCUAGUGUCCUCAGCCGAGGGUAACAAGAGACUCGCUCUUCUGGAAAAGUUUGUAGUUCUGUGGGCUCAGACUCCCUCUCCACCUCUGCACCUUCUCCUCAGUGAACCCACUUUGACUGCUAUUUUUAGUGCCACAGAUAGUGAGAGGACUGACUACCUGUUCCUGAUAAGACAGCUAAUAGAGAGGGGUCUUUUAGGAGAGGAGGAUUUGGGCACCAACUGGCCAAAGUUGUCAGCGUUAUCUUGGCCAGAGGAGUCUUCACUGCCUUCACUGCCAAACCACAGGGACAUACUGCAGGUCUCUCAAUGACCACUAGGGGGACGCAUGAGUCUACAUUACCAACUGUACACAUGAAUCCCAGCCAAACACUAUUGUAUUAACAGCAGUGAUGCAUAUUUGAAGAAAAGAAAUAAUGUUUAAACCUACAAAAUAUAGGAUUUAAAAAAUAUUUUAAAGUCUGAUUUAUUGUUAGUUGCAAGGAGAAUAUUUGCUGCUGAAGAAUGUUGAGUUGAUAAGAUUGUUAUUGACAGUUUAUAAACCUUUAAAACACAUUUUGUGGGGACAUUUUAGCAGGGCUUUGCCAGUUUUCACUUAUACUGCCUCACAAUAGAACAGGAUAAAGACCAUUCACUGUGCUGUUUAUUUGUUUUAAGUGUGUGUAAAUGUUUUUUUGCUUGUUUGUUGGUGAGUAUGUCUGUCUGUAUGUUUCUUAGUAUAUAUUUGCGGA
rnacentral:lncRNA from 1 species